CAGUAGCCGCGGUAAAACCAGCAGCCCAAGUGGUGGUCGCGUUUAUUGGGCCUAAAGCGCUCGUAGCCUGGCCGGUAAGUUCCCCGUGAAAUCGGGUCGCCCAACGAUUCGGCUCGCGGGGAAUACUGUCGGUCUUGGGGCCGGGAGACGCCGAGGGUACUCCGGGGGUAGCGGUGAAAUGCUGUAAUCCUCGGGGGACUACCAGUGGCGAAGGCGCUCGGCGAUAACGGGCCUGACGGUGAGGGGCGAAAGCUGGGGGCGCGAACGGGAUUAGAUACCCGUGUAGUCCCUGUCUCUUAUA
rnacentral:rRNA from 1 species